rnacentral:rRNA from 1 species
CCUACGGGUGGCAGCAGUGAGGAAUAUUGGUCAAUGGACGGAAGUCUGAACCAGCCAUGCCGCGUGCAUGAAGACGGCUCUAUGAGUUGUAAACUGCUUUUGUACAAGGGUAAACCUGAAUACGUGUAUUCAGCUGAAAGUACUUUACGAAUAAGGAUCGGCUAACUCCGUGCCAGCAGCCGCGGUAAUACGGAGGAUCCAAGCGUUAUCCGGAUUUAUUGGGUUUAAAGGGUGCGUAGACGGAUUGAUAAGUUAGUUGUGAAAUGUUGGGGCUUAACUCGGGAACUGCAUCUGAUACUGUUGAUCUAGAGUGUAGAUGAGGUAGGCGGAAUGUAUGGUGUAGCGGUGAAAUGCUUAGAGAUCAUAAAGAACACCGAUUGCGAAGGCAGCUUACCAAACUAUAACUGACGUUGAGGCACGAAAGCGUGGGGAGCAAACAGGAUUAGAUACCCUUGUAGUC